CCUAUUUAUUCAAUUUUUGAUGAAAUCAAACAAAGUUUAAUUUUGGACCCCGAUUUUGGACCAACUUGAAAACUGGGCCAAUAAUCAAGAAUCUAAGUACAUUUUUAGAUUCAGCAUAUCAAAGAACCUAACUGAUUCAUUUUUUGUCAAAAUCAAACUAAGUUAAAUUUUGGACCCUUUGGACCUUAAUGUAGACCAAUUUGAAAACGGGACCAAAAGUUAAGAAUCUACAUACACAGUCAUGACAGUUAGAUUCGGCAUAUCAAAGAACCCCAAUUAUUCAAUUUUGAUGAAAUCAAACAAAGUUUAAUUUUGGACCCUUUGGGCCCCUUAUUCUGUUGGGACCAAAACUCCCAAAAUCAAUACCAACCUUCCUUUUAUGGUCAUAAACCUUGUGUUUAAAUUUCAUAGAUUUCUAUUUACUUGUACUAACGUUAUGGUGCGAAAACCAAGAAAAAUGCUUAUUUGGGUCCCUUUUUGGCCCCUAAUUCCUAAACUGUUGGGACCUAAACUCCCAAAAUCAAUACCAACCUUCCUUUUGUAGUCAUUAACAUUGUGUUUAAAUUUCAUUGAUUUCUAUUUACUUAAACUAAAGUUAUUGUGCGAAAACC
rnacentral:lncRNA from 1 species